CCUACGGGGAGCAGCAGUGGGGAAUAUUGCACAAUGGGGGAAACCCUGAUGCAGCGACGCCGCGUGAGUGAAGAAGUAAUUCGUUACGUAAAGCUCUAUCAGCAGGGAAGAAACACUGACCUUACGGUCAGCAGACGGUACCUGAGUAAGAAGCCGCGGCUAACUACGUGCCAGCAGCCGCGGUAAUAUGGAGGGGGCAAGCGUUUUCCGGAUUUACUGGGGGUAAAGGGAACGUAGACGGUGCGUGAAGUCUGGAGUGAAAUGCCGCAGCUUAACUGCGAAACUGCUUUGGAAACUGGCGAACUAGAGGGCAGGAGGGGUAAGCGGAAUUCCUAGUGUAGCGGUGAAAUGCGUAGAUAUUAGGAAGAAAACCGGUGGCGAAGGCGGCUUACUGGACCGUAACUGACAUUGAGGCUCGAAAGCGUGGGGAGCAAACAGGAUUAGAUACCCCAGUAGUC
rnacentral:rRNA from 1 species